rnacentral:misc_RNA from 1 species
GUGAAUCAUCGAAUCUUUGAACGCACAUUGCGCCCCUUGGUAUUCCGAGGGGCAUGCCUGUUCGAGCGUCACAACGACCAAUCAAGCCUGGCUUGGUGUUGGGGGUAACGCGGUCCUCGCGCCUCCUAAAACCAGUGGCGGCGUCACCUAGGCUCUAUGCGCAGUAAUCAUCCUCGCUACAGAGCCCUUGGUGGGUGCCUGCCAGAACCCUCCACUUCCUCACGGUUGACCUCGGAUCAGGUAGGGAUACCCGCUGAACUUAAGCAUAUCAAUAAGCGGAGGA